AUUAGGGCCACGCAUGUGGUCAGUUCAUCAGUACAGCAACAAGCAGGAAAUUAUGAGGCACAGGAGCUCACAUGCUUGGAAUAUCCGCAGCUCUGGAAAAAGAAGACAGAAGACUGGAUGGAUUCUGAGGUUGUCCUCAGCAGGACCUUCCCAGUAGACAUCAAGGCCAGCUGCCCUGAAGACAGGACUGAGAAAUCUCCUUUCCUGAAGUUUCACCAAAAGGUGGUGGGCUGAACCAUGCAAAAUCCUGAUGCUGACCUAAUUUUACCAAGAACAAAAUUUCAUUGCCUCUGAGACUCAUCCAUGACCAGUGGCAGAACCAAACCUGGAAUGAGGUGCCAGGCUGAUGCCUCAAAGUCAUCCAAGACUGGAAAAGGCUGGAUGGCCACAAGACCUCAUGCCACGUAGAACACAACCAUAACACAGAGAUGUGAAAGAUGCAAAAAGACAAAUCAGAAAGCUUUGGCAACUUUUCCUCCAUCAGGCAAACAGAUAUUGGCAUCUAUGUCUGCUCAGGCUUUGCCUGGUGAAUAAUUGAUGCAUUUCCAUGUGUUUUUAUUCAAAACUGACUUUCAAGUUCCAAUAUUUCCUGAUAUUCUUAAAGAUUAGAAGUUGAUAAUUGAGAUUUUUUGUAAUCAUCAAAGAGUCUACAUCAACAGAGACUUGGAAAUUUUAAAAAAGAAGAGAAAGAAAGAGUGAAAGGAAAAACAAAAGGCAUCUCUAAUAACUGUGGCAGGAACUAAGCAGACACUGAGCUGUCAGUAAGUAAAAACAUAUUGUGGCAGGCUGCAGUUUACCUAUGCUUGCAUGCAGCCAUCGAAGGCUCAGUGGGACUAAUUACGAAAAUAUGAUUAUAAUGGAUUAGUAAUUCUGUCAAUCAGACACAUGCAUAUGGUAACAAAAGAGCAAUGGGUAAAAAUGCCACAGGACAGGAGAUUUUAAUGCUGUGGGUUAGUACCAAAAGCACGUCUCAUGGGAGAAAAAAAAAAUUGAGUUAUGUUGGGAGAGAACUGCUGGGAUUGUAUAUUAACAAGAAAUCAUGUAUCAGAUCUAUGGCUCAGAAACACAUUAAAACCAGCUGCAAAGCCAUUUUUACCCCUUCUCUCUAAAAAUGGUUUUGACAGAUUUGGAAAGGGUGAGAUUUCAAGCUGCACUAAAAGUUUGCAGGUAGAACUGGUAAACCUCAGCCUUAGAUGGGCCUGCUGAAUCAAAAGAGAGGGAGAUAUCUCAACCACCAAGGACAUUUCAUUCAACUUUGAAAUCACAUUCUACAAUCAAAGAACAAGAAAAUCUGUGGGAAACAUUGCCAUUCAAAAUUGGAGAAGAAGAAAGUGUCUCUGAAUCUCUUUCCUUAAUGGAUAUUCUUCCAUUUCCUCCUCACCCAUGCCUGGUUUGCUAUUCAGAACCUGCAGGAGAGCUGGACUACGGUCAGGAUGUCUCAGGGAAGGCAGCCUAGGACCUGUCCCCUGUCUUGUUUUCUAUAUAAAAGCACCAUGAAGUAAUUUAUUUGGUAGAACAAUGUGAUUUUUGUAAAUAACUGCAAGCACUUCAAACUCCAUUCUCUGCUUUGCAGCUCUGCCAAUACAUGCCCCAGUGGCCUGGACAACUCUUGGCAUAUUAACAUGGGUUUGUCACAAUUUUUGUUCCUUGCUAGCUCGGGGGGUUGAGGCAGCUCCUGUGUUUAUGGGCCAGUCUGGAAGGCAGUGUUGCUCCAGGGGAAGCAGCCACCUCCUGGCUCAGCCUUGCACAAGCCAAAGGAGCCAAAAGCAGCUGGGAUCAGAUCUGCCUGCAGCUCCCUGGGAGGAUCGGGAGCACUGGCAUCUGGAAAAUCAGGAUGCUCCAGCUUCCCUGGCUUUCUCAUUUGUACUGGGGAGUGUGGGGAUGGAGGGGGCUGGGAGACUAAAUGGGAACCAGCCUGUCAGUCUGUGGAACUGCCAGGGUAUUGCUGUGAUCAGAGUAUCUCUUUCUCACUUUUGGCUGGAAAGGCUGACCUGGAGCAGAGACUGGACAGAGUAAAAGGGAUCAAACUGGUAUUUAUUGAAAGGAUCCACCUUGGGCAGUGCAAGAGCCUGGCCAGGGCUGCACCCCAAUCAAAUCCGAGAUGGAUCCUGGUCACGAGUUUUUACACUUUUAUAAGUUUUGGUUCAUCUACAUACUGGGGUCAAUUAUCCAACCUCAGCCCCAGGCUAUGAAGUCUCAGCCCCUGCCUUGCCCCCUUCCCCUCGCUGUUGUUUCUGCUUUUUGGGUACCAGUUGUCCCUGAUUCUCCAGCUAGGAAGGAAUUGUUUUGUCUGGCUACCCUGUGAAGAGAACUUACUAACACCUAACAUGAAGCUUCAGAGUUACACACUAAGCAGCAGAGAUUCUGAAAAAUAUAAAAGCUAAAACCCAAGGCAUCAUCAUGGCUAAUGUAAAGCCAGCCAGUUAAAGUCCUUCUAAUCCCAGCUGGUUUCAUCAGGUACUGGCACCAAAGUUGAAGGAUGAAGAGUUUCUACAUAAAUAUUGACCAUAGAGCAGAGCUGUGACAAGACACUGGAAACAGAUCAAGUGAAGACAAAAAUAUUUGUAUAUCCCUGGUCCUUCCUUUAACCUGCCACUUCACAGAUGCCUCAGGAGGCAUUGUACCUGUAAAAUGAAACAUAGAGAAUAACUCAUAAUAGUUUCACACUCUCUUGUGACAUCACCUUGUUUUUCCUCAAGUAAAAGUCUGUUUUUUUAAUUGUAAUUGCUCUGAAAUUAUUCUGAAAACUGGAUUCAAAUAUUGAAUGCAGCAUCUCUGCUAGGAUGGAGAAGGAAGAAAGGAGCAAGCUGGCACAAACAGGCAGCAGCUAGAUUUUAAAACGUGCCCAUUCAAAUGGACGAUCAGCUUAAUUUUGAAUAUAAUUUCUAUCUUACAGCCUAACAGGUAGAGACACAGACUUUAUGCUGGCAAAGGCACAAUAAAAAAAAAAGCCAUCAAAAUCAGAAUGUCCAGCCCAAAAAGAUGUGCUGCUAGCCCCAAUCUAAAACAUUGAAGAGCAGGAAGUGCCACCAGGAAAGGAAAAGGUAAUAAGGUGAUAAAAAGUAAAUCCCACGUAGGUGAGAGUAAAAUCCAUCUGGUUUGGCUGGAACUUCUGUCCCCCUUCAGCCAAGGGGAUGAUUUGAUUGUACCCCAUGAUUUGAACUACAAAAUGAUGCAGAUGGUUUCCUGCAACAACCUGACUGAAAGCCUAUGUGAAAAUAAAGACUGUGGAGAGAGAGGAGGAACCAAGGCACAGUGAGAUGAACCCUCAGCACAAGAUCUUCCCCUUUUUUUUGUGAACACCUCCUUUCACCACUUUGUUCUACAAAAUUCCCAUUGCUUCAGCAGCAACAGACUGAGCAUCAUCUCAGGAGCUUCCUCGGGAGCUCCUUCCCAGCUCACAAUUCCCAAUUCACAAACAAAUUAAUUGUCAAAAGCAAGAAUGCACAGAACUUUAGGAUCUACAGUUUUCAGCAGAUUCUUGGGCCAUCAGUUCCAAUUUGUGCUUGUUUUCAUGUACAAGUGGGUGAGCAGCAAGCACAGGUGUGCUGUCAUUCUUGUAAAAUAACUUCCUUCCACAAACAAGUUUCUCCCUGCUGAGCAUUUUCGUAACCUGCUACUUACUAUUUGUCCCUAAAUGAGCAGCUGAGGGCUCCUACGUGACCUGUGCUGUGAUCACAAGGGUUUUCCUUGAGCUUUGGUUUCAGAUUAAGUAAUUCACAAAAUGGAAUGGCUGCUGCUGGAGGGGAAGAAACAAAAAAAAAAUAAUAAUUCAGCUCAUUUGGAGAUGUCACUGUGGUUCAGAGGGAAAGCCAACAAAGGGACCAUGUAAGCAAGGAUAAGCUGUGGAAAAACAUAUUAAAUAUGACUGUCUGGUAAAAUGCCAUAAUGCUGAUAAGGUAUUUUGGAUGACAGUGAAUCCAGCUCAUGCAUGGUGCCCUCGGUCCAGUACAUUUUAUAUCAAACAUUCAAAAAUCCUUGUCAGGAUGUUUGUCCCUGUGGUUGCUCAAACAUGCACUUACGCUGCCUUCAAGUCCCCACAUGUCAAUAACCCAGCACUGAUUUGAUUUCCAGGCUCGCAGGUUUCACUGCGAGUCACCCAAAGAGACCCAGUAAAGCCAUUUGGACUUGGAACAGCCUGUGUUGUCAGUGGAUGCACCUGCAGUAGCUGCACAGGGGUGUUAUAUCCACUGAACAAGUCAUUCUGAAGGCAGCAGAUCUACAGAUUAUUUUAAUAACCUGUUUGAUUUAAAGACUUGUCAUUUUUGUGCGCCAUGAAAACAUGCUCAGGACUUUUACCCAAUGCAAGCAGAGAAAGGAAUUUACUCCUUGUGGGAGCUGAUGAGGUAGAUCCAUGAAAGGAUCAUGCUCCUGCCUAGCAAUCCUCCUCUUUAGAAAGUGCAGGGAGCUCCUGAUAGGUAACUAAGUGCUAAUCUCUCAUACUAGGAUCACUUUGAUCAAGAUGUGCCACCACAGGAUCUAAAUUUUAGACAGCAGUUUAAAACUAUGAGUUUUCACGAGACUUUCAGAAAAGAGCAUUCUCAACACUUCAGCUUCCCUCUCUCCAGUGGCAAUAAGUCUAUAUGCACUCAGAAUUGGACAAUUUAGCCAAAUCCAGUACUCUGAAAUGAUGGAGCAGUAGGAUGUAAAUAGUUCAGAUGUUGAUAAUAUCACAUAUUUCAUUGUCCUGCUGAAAAGAUGAAUUCAGCUGGCUCCUUGCACAGACCUCCCCACGUGUCUAAUGAGACUAUUUUCAUGUACUUGGUGGCAGACACAAGAGAGGUGAUGAAGGGAGCCAAUUUUGGGAAGGACAUUGGAGAUUAAUCAGCAGGUGCUCUCCCCUCCAUGUACAUGUUCUCUGCUGAAAGGCACAAGCCCACUCAGAGCCUUGCUGCACAAAAUCCCUGCAGGCUAUUGCAAAAUGCAAGCCAGAGGCCAGCUGAUUAGAAAGGCACUACAGCAGGAUUGAUUUUGGGUCUACAUCUUACAUUUCAAGUGAUCAGAGUUCAAAACCAAGCUUUAAAGGGAAACCAGCUCAGACAUCAGGGAACAGGCAGCAGGCAGGAAUUGUGUAGGAAUGGACUCUGCUGUGGAGCUGGGGUUGGGCUCUGCCAGGUGUGCUCAGAAACCACAGGCACCAGCACCUCCAUCAGGUCUGAAAUCCAGGCUGGGAACACAAUGCCCACUCCAGGGUUUAAAUCAAGUGAGGUAACACUGGUCACCACUGCAGAAUUUUCCCUCUGAAAUCAAUAAGGAAUUCCCAUCGACAUUAAAGGAUUCUUGAAAGAG